rnacentral:ncRNA from 1 species
GGCUGCGCCGUGUCGGGUGUGUGGAAACGCCCCCGGAGGUUUUGCGAAAAGAACCUCGACAGCACGUAGCGCAGCCUU